rnacentral:lncRNA from 1 species
UUGCUUCAUGUAUGUUUCUCGAUUGUUUGAGUUUACUCUUUGCCUUCAGUUUUUAUUGAAUUUUUUGACUUUUUGUGCAUGAAAUAAUCUAUUUGUUAUAUGUCAUGGUUAAAGGUUUGGUUUCUUUCUUUUUUCCCUUUUAUCAAAAGAAAACUAAUGAAAAUGGCUUGAAAACUUUAAGUUUUAAUGAUAAUGACAAAAUAAAGGGUAAAGUGAAUAGUACCCAGAUUGACUUUUUAGUGUAAAAAUAUGGUUUUUCGUUAAAGUGAACAGUACCGGGUGUUUUUCGUUAAAGUUCCAUUUUAUCAAUCCUCUCUCUUUACAAUUUAAGUUGAAUUACCAUGGGAUGUACAACAAGGGAGGCUAAAAAGCAGUCUAGCCCCAGGAAAAGGCCAUAAACAAAGAAAGAGACCAGUGCUUAAAAGAGGCUAGCGAUGGUUAAACUUAAAAGAGGCUAAGUAGUCCGAAAGAGAUUUAACAAGACAUAAAACGCAACUUUUGUCCAAAUCCUAGACAUCCCACUAACCCAAAAAAAGUACAAAAUGACAGCUGGCUACUCCAACGUGAUCAACACCUUUGGUUCAUUUUCCACGUUGGUGGAUUACCCUAAGCCCCUCAAAUAAUUAACAAAUCAUCCAAACGUGUUUCACGUUGGUGGGUUAUCCUGAAUCUCUUAAUAAUUAACAAAUAAAUCAGCAUGCUUUCACAGUGCAUCUGCACAUUUUGGUUCCAGGAAGUGAUAAAACUGAAAGUUGAACAAUGUUUUUACAUCAGCUCCACAACAUCAUUAACUUUUGACACCUUCAAUUAUUUUGAAUUAAUAGCACAAUAAUAAAGCUACUUUAAUUUUCUUCUUUGGGAUUACUUUAAUUAUGCAGGCAUCCUUGGUUGCAUUGCCUUAAAAAUGCAUGCAAUCUCGGACACUUAACAAAGUUGCUUACUUUGAUGAGCAAUUUUCCCCCAAAAAAGAAUUGAGUGCAUCAGGCACAGAUCAUGGCCCAUAAAUUAUAAAAAUAGUUACGAAAAACUACAAAAGCAAGUGCCCACUUAAUAUACGUCUAAAUGUGUGUCUAAAAAUUUAAAGGUGUGGUUUACUAAAAAUAAUAAAUAAAUUAAUUAAUUAAAUGUGUGAACAAAAGUUUAAAAUUAUGUGAAAAAGUCUAAAGGUGUCAAAAAAAUAGUAUAAAUGUGUAUGUAAAAGUCUAAAUAUGUGUGUAAACGUCUAAAGCUGUGUGAAAAUAAAGACUUUUGAACACUUAUAUUUUAUGUUGUCGUGUAAAAUCUCUAUAAAAGAGAUGUCUAUGUAUGUUUGUAAUCAAUCACAUUCCAGCAAUACGAAAAUAAAAUAUUUUUGUUAUCAGAAGAAACUUGUUGCUAAUAGUCUGAAAAACAUUCAAACUAAUUUUCUAAAACCAGUGAAACAUAAUUUCACACUAAAAGUAAAGGGGAUGAUGGCAUAUCAUAGUGUUCAUUUAUGUUGAUAAUAUAAUCUACACAAGGAGCUGACAAGAAUUAAUGGAUGAAUAUAAAUUGGUUUCCAGAAUUUAGGCUAAACGUAAAAGGAAUGUUGAGAUAUUAUUAUAAUUAUUAUUAUAGAUUGGUUUCUAGAAUUUCAGUUUAUUUAUCAGAUGCUAUGAAAUUAGCCUGAGGGCUAGCAUCCAAAUGGAAGCAAGUACUGAUGGGCUCCAUUUUUAAUGUCCUCCUCAGAGGACAUAGGCUAAAAGUAAAAGUUUUACGGUAAAUUUCAAAACUCUCUAAUAAUCUCAUGUAAUUUGAAUACUUUUUUUUACUCCAUCUUGCAACUUUCUUUUAGAGUCAAAAUCUCAUAGCACCUAAUGAUAUUUAUUUUUAUUUGUAAGUGAAAGAUUUUAAGUUCGAGUCUCGAUUCUCAAAUUAAUUAAACAAAAUUAUAACUAACUUUUUCACAAGUUCUGAAUGGUAUUCAUAUUGUAUCCCUUUUCCACAAUAUAGGCUUAAACGCCACAAUUACAGGGACAAAGAAAGUCAUAAAUUGGGGUCCAUUUGGAAUGAGGAAAUUUCAAUGCUCAAUCCAAUAUUGACUAGCAGAGAGCAUACACUUUGUGUGUAUGAACAACCGCCCACCUCUUCUCACGUUCUCAUCAAACGAAACUGCUUCAGUUCAUUCAAACUAUCCAAAAAAUAUUAUGAUUUCACUUACCUGUAUGAAAAAAUGAGAGUGGGACAAUUUUUCUUAAUAAGUGCAUAUUUUUUUAUUUUAUGUAAAUAUUUUGAUACAAAAUUACUAUUUUACCCUCCUCAUCUCAACAUUGUGUAUUCAAAAGUGAGAGGCAAAAUUAGAAAAAAUAGGCAAAAAGGUUGAUAAGGUGUAUUCUCUUAAUAAUAGUAUAGAUUACAAUAUGAGGAUUCGAGGGGAUCCUCAUCCGUACUUUUUAAACCCAUUUGCAAUUUUAUUGGUAUUCACAGUUUUAAAUUUACCCAUCGAUCCUCACAAAUUAUGCUAUUAAAUUUAGUACACUACUAGCCUUCACGCACGUGCGUGAGCGCGAAGAAGGUUUUUUUUGAAUCACAGCGCAACAUGCGUGCGUUUUAAAUGUAUUUAUAGACGUAAAUUGACAAAAGGAAAAUUAAAUAUUUGAAGUAAAUGAAUAAUUUUCAAUUAUGCUAGAACAAACCUCUUAUAAACCAAUUAAAAUCGUUGAAUUAACAUAAUAAAAUCAAUUUCUAUAGAAUUUACAUUAGGAAUAGAGAAAAUAAUAUUUAAUAAACAAUUGAUUGAAUCACAUUAUUACUAGCCGAUGUACUAAUUAUUAAAAAAACAAAACAAAAAUUGUACAGGAAAAAGUUAAAUAUUAAAAAACUGUUUAAAACUGUACACUGAAUAGUUAAAUAUUAAAACACUGUUCAUCACUGUAGACUAUAUAGUAAACUAUUAAAACACUGUUUAUAUGACGAAAAUACCCCUGCAUUAUUUGUUGUAUUAUUUUGAAUUACUUUGUUUGGAGGGCAGUUUGGUCCUUGUAGAAGCUGAAACACUGUUCACACUAUUCACCUUUCCUCCGGCUUUCUAUAUAAAAGAUGAAAUUUCUUUGAUUGAAAUCCCAAUCAUUCUCUAGUCGCAUAAUGAACUAAAACGUAAUCAUUCUACUUUAGUCUACAGUAUUUGAUUUCCAAGAAAUGUUCUCUCUCCCACUCCCUGGGCCCACACGCUACUGUGUAUUGCAUUGCGUUUAUGUUUGAGCAACUGAGAAAAUUAGGUGAUCUCCAAUUUCUAGUUUCAAAACGAUGGUUGAGAAAAAAAGAUAAUGAUAAUACUACCCUUUUGUCAAGUGUCUUCAUCUUAUAAGGUGUAAGAUGAAAGACUAAUAUUAUUUUGAUGUAAGCUUGAAUACUGUCAAAACCAUGUAACCAUUAAAACUUAAAAGAGUACUAGUGAAGCAAAAUUAUACAUAUUCUAAAAUCCAACACAAAAAGCACUGUUCAUUAACAGUGAAAGGCCUGUAUUAUAGAUAUGUUUUUUUAUAUCAAAUUUUAAAUUAUCGGUGUUAAUAAAAUUGAUUUGGUUUUCCAGAUCAUAAUUUUUAAGCAACAAAAUCAACCUGCAAAUUCAGUUCGGAUAUGAAUGCUUCUGCUUAUUUAGAUUGUUGAAUUGAUCUUUACCUUUACUAGAUUUUAUUUUUCAAUGUUGUUUGCUACAUCAUCGUGUUACUUUAUUAUUAAUAAUACUAAUUUGGUUUUGUAGAUUAAGAUUUUUAAGCGAGAAUCAAGUUCAAAAUUCAAUUGAGGUACGAGUCUUUUUGCUUAUUUGGGCUGUUGAAUUCAUCCUUGCCUUUACUGCAAUUUUUCUUUUUUACUGUUGUUUGGUACAUUCUGGUAUUGAUUUCAUUGCAAUUUUUCUCUUUGCCUUCAGUUUUUAUUGAAUUUAUUGACGUUUUGUGCACGAGUUAAUCUAUUUGUUAUAUGUCGUGGUUAAAGGUUUGGUUUCUUUCUUUUUUUCUUUUUAUCAAUCCUCUCUAUUUACAAUUUAAGUUGAAUUACCAUGGGAUGUACAACAAAGGAGGCUAAAAAGCAGUCUAGACCCAGGAAAAGGCCAUAAACAAAGCAAGGAAAAAGACCAGUGGUUAAAAAGGCCAAGUAGUCCGAAAGAGACAUAUAAACAAGACAUAAAGCGCAACUUUUGUCCAAAUCCUAGACAUCCCACUAACCCAAAAAAAUAAAAAAUGACAGCUAGCUACUCUAACGUGAUCAACACCUUUGCUUCAUUUUCCACGUUGGUGGGUUACCCACCCUAAGCCCCUCAAAUAAUUAACAAAUCAUUCAAACGUGUUUUAUGUUUGUGGGUUAUCCUGAACCUCUCACUAAUUAACAAAUAAACC